AUGUAUUAGAUCAUGCAUUUUACAAUUAACACGACCAGGAUAUUCAAACAAAUCUUGGAAGAAACACCUAGAACAUAGCUCUUUAAAAUAUCGCAAGCCAACAUCUUCUAAGUCUUCAUUCUCAUUGGAAGAUUGAAGAAAUCCAUUUGCCAUCCAAAAACAAACCAAUUCAAUGUCGUCGAAUUCAUAAUCUUUGGGAAAAAUUGAAC
rnacentral:misc_RNA from 1 species